AGAUUUCUAGGCCACCAAUUCGAAAACUAGUCCCUGAAAUGAUCAAAUUCGGCAUGAUGAGCUCACCGAGAGCUUUCAUUUGACACCCAUCAUGUCUAGGUUCCAAAAAAUUCGAAUUUUUAGAUAAAAAUUUUGGGUCUCGCCG
ensembl:ncRNA Y53H1C.5 ncRNA